AAAAUCGUACUCUUGCCCGAUCCACUUUCUCCUUUCCUUCUUCUCUCCGCUCGCUCAUUCCAAAAUUCCUACGACCGAAUGAGAUCCGACUGGUAACUCAGCUACCAUCAGUUUGCUCUCCCUUUAGCUUGCUCGUCCUCGACUGAGGCACCUCCCAGCUCGACUCGCAUGUGAUGUGGGCUUGGAUCUUGUCUUCCGCUGCCAGCUUGAAUCCAUCUUCAGCAUGAGGAUGGCGGCAGCGUUGUCUUCCCCUAGCGCGCGAGCCAGACGCAUCGUCGUCGUUCCCAGUCGAGGCAGCCAGACACAUCGUCGUCUUCCUCCACAUCGGCAGCUUUCUUCGUCCUACAGGGGGAUGUGGAACCUCGAGUGUGCUCCCUAUAGAAGCAGCGCUGCAAUAUGAGAUGACACCACUGCUAGUACUAUCUUUCCUUCGGAACACAACUUUGCUGUGAUUGCCUCCGUAGGUGGAAACACAACCUUUCGAUGCAGGGAUCUUGAAAGUGCAUUUUGAACUGAAAUAUUCUUCAACACACGUCAUUGCCUGAUAUGUACGUGUACUUGAGGCACCUAUUGAUCUUAUCGUUUUCUAUAUACUGGUUAUCCAUCUUCACCUACAGUGGUAUUACUGUCAUAUUUUUUAGGGAACUUUCUUAUACAUGUGUUGUCGACCAUGCCACAUGGUCCAUGCAACAUGUAGUUCUCAACCACUACAUAUCCUUAUGGAUCAACUAGUCUUGAAUUUCAGUGCAUGUUAUCCUAUCUACCUCUGAUGGUUCGGGGUACUUGUGUUUCUUUUCCUUUCUGUCAAGGAAUAUGACUAUGUGGGCAUGUGGGAGAUCCCUUUUUUGGAA